GAUGAACGCUCGCUACAGGCUUAACACAUGCAAGUCGAGGGGAAACGGCAUUAAGUGCUUGCACUUUUUGGACGUCGACCGGCGCACGGGUGAGUAACGCGUAUCCAACCUUCCCAUGACUAAGGGAUAACCUGCCGAAAGGCAGACUAAUACCUUAUGGUCUUCACUGACGGCAUCAGAUGUGAAGUAAAGAUUUAUCGGUUAUGGAUGGGGAUGCGUCUGAUUAGCUUGUUGGCGGGGUAACGGCCCACCAAGGCAACGAUCAGUAGGGGUUCUGAGAGGAAGGUCCCCCACAUUGGAACUGAGACACGGUCCAAACUCCUACGGGAGGCAGCAGUGAGGAAUAUUGGUCAAUGGGCGAGAGCCUGAACCAGCCAAGUAGCGUGCAGGAUGACGGCGCUAUGGGUUGUAAACUGCUUUUGUAUGGGGAUAAAGUCAAUCACGUGUGAUUGUUUGCAGGUACCAUACGAAUAAGGACCGGCUAAUUCCGUG
rnacentral:rRNA from 1 species